rnacentral:rRNA from 1 species
UACGGGGGGUGCAAACGUUGUUCGGAAUCACUGGGCGUAAAGAGCGCGUAGGCGGUCGGGUAAGUGGGAUGUGAAAUCCACCGGCUCAACCGGUGAACUGCAUCUCAUACUGCUCGGCUUGAGGGCAGCAGAGGAGAGGGGAAUUCUCGGUGUAGCGGUGAAAUGCGUAGAUAUCGAGAGGAACACCAGUGGCGAAGGCGCCUCUCUGGGCUGCACCUGACGCUGAGGCGCGAAAGCUAGGGGAGCGAACAGG